rnacentral:lncRNA from 1 species
UAUUUUUCAAAAAAUCAUUUCUAGUUAAAUCCUUAAGAAAAUAGCUACCUUGUGCUUAACUCCAGAAAUUCCCAUCUUCUGACACAAUCUUACACAUGUUAACGUGACACUCCAGUUUAAAUUUCGUGGCAAUCGGAGUUGUAGAACUCCGGUUAUAGCGAUUUUCGUCGGAAAAUCACAAAAAUUGAAAUGGUCAUAACUUGGUCGUUUUAACUCGGAAUUAGCUCAUUUUUGGACACGAGCUACAUAAUACCAUAUAUUUUCAUUUUCCAAAAGCCCGGAAUUUUUCUCAGAAGAAAAGUUGACAAAACAGCCCUUGCAAAAUAUUAGCAGCUUACUUUUUGUACUUUGGCAGUUUUGGAGUCCUUUACCAAAACUUAAAUAAAA